ACUAUUUAUCUUUUUUUCUCAUUUAUUUGGUAGUUUCCCUUAUUUUUCCAUUUUCCCCUUAUUUACCCGUUAAAGACUUAUUCCUAAACGAUGUAACGGAACAAAUUCUUUCAGUUACAAAUAUAUCCAUGCGUUUCCAAAAGACUUGUCACUUAAUUACACACCAUUUCAGAAUAGUUAAUCACAUAACAAAACCGAAAAGGGGUUCUUCCACAUUUUGUAUACGCCUUUUCCCCUUCCCCUGUUUAACAAAAUCGAAAAGGGCUUUAAGGGGUCAUUAAGCCAAUCGAUUAUGACGUUAACAAUUGUUUGUCCCCAUUAAAGCGCACUAAAGAUUCAACAGAAUAGCAUUGGUUUCUUCUGCGCUUUCAAAGUUCUCUAUUUUCUUUUCUUUAUAUAUUCUGCUUUUUCAUAAUUCUAUGAUUUAAUUUUUUUUUUUGGAUGCAGAGAAGUACAAAUUAAAGAGAUGCAAACCAAUAUGAAUGAUUGACAAUUUAGAGGCAAGUCAUAAAGGGAUCGAUUUAACACAAGGCUAUUGAUUAUGAUGUCUAAAAACGUUAUUUCUCUUGGAUUUAACAAACUCUAUGAAGGGGUUAUUUUUUCUUUUCUGAUAAGUAAAUAGACUAUGUUAACGUAUUAAGAAAGUUUAUGAAGAAUCGGUAGUAUGGAGAAAAGGCCUAUUAAAUAUUUUUUCCCCCGAAAGAUUGUUGUGCUUCUCGGACUAUAUCUUUUGAUUUUAAUUUUUUGUUUAUAACGAAAAAA
rnacentral:lncRNA from 1 species